ACCGUUUCCUUGAAACGACGUUGCGACACCAUCUUCCACCGAUGGUGGUAGCUAUUCGGUACGAGAGAUUUUUAUCGUGGAAGCUAUUUCACGCAGAUAUUUACCAUGGUGUACAAAACGGUGGAAAAUUCGGGAGAUAAUUUUCACGAAAAAGAAAUAUAUCACGUAGAAACGUAUGAUCGAGAAAUAUAUAUUAAUUAUCGUUUGUUCUAAUAAAUAAUUAACAAUUCAAUCACGAUACGCUUAUGGUCGAUUACGACUCGUUCGAAUAUCUCGUAAUGAUUUAAACGAAGACGUUUAAAAGAAAUGCGUUGCUCCUCCUAUCAGCUCGACCAUCGUUAAGAUUCUCUGAAAAAGAUCGUUCCGCGAGUAUAAAAAAUUACCUUCGUUAAAUCUACACCGUUCAUCAAGUCCUUUAAGAAGUUCAUUUUCCGAGGAAAUGUUUAAGACAGGGAACCGAAGCAAAGCGUUCAAUGAAAGGGCAGUUAAAGCGAACGCGUCCAAUGAAAACAAAUCAAAUGGAAUUCGCUGUCAACCAAUUUCUCGAAUUAUCGAAAAAAAUCGUUUCAUUUGAUUUUCGGACGGAAUACAUCGGUUUGGAGGUUUCAGGGUUUCAACUAGACUGCCGAUGCUUAUAUAUUUAUGGAAAUUCGAGUAGCAUGAAAAAAA